UACGUAGGGUCCGAGCGUUGUCCGGAAUUAUUGGGCGUAAAGGGCUCGUAGGCGGUUCGUCACGUCGGGAGUGAAAACUCGGAGCUUAACUCCGAGCCUGCUUCCGAUACGGGCAGACUAGAGGUAGGCAGGGGAGAGCGGAACUCCUGGUGUAGCGGUGGAAUGCGCAGAUAUCAGGAAGAACACCGGUGGCGAAGGCGGCUCUCUGGGCCGGUACUGACGCUGAGGUGCGAAAGCGUGGGGAGCAAACAGG
rnacentral:rRNA from 1 species